rnacentral:tRNA from 1 species
GGAGGAUUGGCCGAGUGGUAAGGCACCGGCUUGGCUCAAGCCGUGGUCGGGUGAGAGCCCGCGCACGUUCGAUCCGUGCAUCCUCCGCCG